rnacentral:misc_RNA from 1 species
AUAAAAACCACCUCUUCUUCCCUAACACCAAAUUUUCUUUGGGGGAAGAGAGACUCAUAUGUGUAUCUAUUUGUAAUUAACAAGAAAGAGGGUAUCAGGGUUUUUGAUUUUCUUGAUGAAUUGAAACUUGAUCAUUCUACACUUGUUAAUUUCUGGAGGAAUUGGGGAAAAAAUUAAAAUGGAAUUGGUUGAUCAGUCUGAAUCUUCUCCUUUGGUUCCUCCUUCUGUGAUCACUGACACAAGUGAGAUCGAUCUUGAAGCUGGUUCUAGUGAACAGAUUCAGUGUAGGAUUUGUCUUGAGACUGAUGGUAGGGAUUUUAUUGCACCUUGCAAGUGUAAAGGUACAUCAAAGUUUGUUCAUCGGGAAUGCCUGGAUCAUUGGCGUGCA